UAAUCACAGAAAGAAAGUAAAUCAAAUCAAAUCACUUACACGAGUACUUUACACUGCUAAACAAAUACUCACGUAGAAUCGUAGUUAGAAAUACUUUUAUUCUCCAACAACAACUGAGCACUGUUAAACACAUUUGAAUGUUUAAAUCAAAUCAUUAUGUUUAGAGGACUUCGUGGGUAGGGCUUAUUGGAUGUUGGUGGCUGAUCCCAUGGAUGAGACUCAGCUGUGUAAUGGAAAGAGGGAAAUUAUAAUUUCAUAUCUGAUAAUGCUUUUUUUCUCCUGGCAUUCCAUUUGAGACACUGGUUUAUUGCAACAGAUCCACGUGUGAUGUACUCAGAACCUGCUAAAUUUGUGGCAAAACUAAGGGAUAUGAAGACUGAUAAAAACAUCAUUAUGUUUAAAUGUGAAUUUGGUGCUGGCCAUUCUUCAAAGUCGGGGAGAUUUGAGAAGCUUCAAGAAGAUGCCUUCAUAUAUACCUUCAUUAUGAAGGCUCUGGAUAUGGUUCCUGCACAAGGAUCUGGGCUGAAUUAAUUAGACUGCUCCAGGUAGGAGGAUGUGGUGCAAAUAAUAUAGGAUUCACGUCACAAAACAAUACAUAUAAAAGACACUUUUCUUUUUUCUAUUUUGUCGUUUUUUUUUUGGUCUGGUAUGGUGACGUUAGAAUCUAAUCGGAAUCCAAUCGGGGCAAAAAAAAAAUAAACUUGGGUUGAGUGGGAUUUCAAGUGCUCCGCACAAUCUCCAACCCAUUUACAGGCCUACAUUGGAGACUCUUCUCUACAUUUUUCUGUUGACUGACCUUUUUUUUUAUGGGUAAACGUUGAAUGUGACAUUA